GGCAGGGGUGUUGAAGGUCUCAAACAUGAUCUGGAGACGAGAGAGGAGAGGGAUGAGUCACGGUGCUGGAGGACUACAGUAGAGGGAUGAGUCACGGUGCUGGAGGACUACAGUAGAGAGGGAUGAGUCUCAAGGUGCUAGAGGACCACAGUAGAGAGGGAUUGAGUGUCAAGGUGCUAUAAAACCACAGCAGAGAGGGAUGAGGACCACAGGAGAGAGGGAUGAGUGUCAAGGUGCUAGAGGACCACAGUAGUGAGAGGGAUGAGGACCACAGUAGAGAGAGGGAUGAGUGUCAAGGUGCUAGAGGACCACAGUAGAGAGAGGGAUGAGGACCACAGUAGAGAGAGGGAUGAGGACCACAGUAGAGAGAGGGAUGAGGACCACAGUAGAGAGAGGGAUGAGUGUCAAGGUUCAAGAUCAGUCAGAGGAACAUGCGCUAGUGAGUCGAGGGGUAAAGUUAGUGGAGACCCCGUUCAGAAACACAGCAGUCAU